rnacentral:rRNA from 1 species
GUUAUAGUCUGCCGUGUAAUGCCCGUCGGCGGACUGAGGAACGCGCAUCUGCAAAGAUGCUGGCGUAAUGGUUGUCAGCGACCCGUCUUGAAACACGGACCAAGGAGUCGUCCUAAUAUGCGAGUGUUCGGGUGUAAAACCCCUACGCGUAAUGAAAGUGAACGGAGGUGAGAGCUUCGGCGCAUCAUCGACCGAUCCUGAUGUUCUCGGAUGGAUUUGAGUAUGAGCAUAUUGGGCCGGACCCGAAAGAAGGUGAACUAUGCCUGUAUAGGGUAAAGCCAGAGGAAACUCUGGUGGAGGCUCGCAGCGGUUCUGAC